UAGGUAGAAGCCCGCUGGAUUGGGUGUUUAGUUGUUAAUUAAAGGUUUGCGGGAUCGAGGCCCGUCUAUCUAGU
rnacentral:tRNA from 2 species